rnacentral:rRNA from 1 species
AUGCUUGCUGAGGUUCGUCAGCGUCUCCUUCAGGCACAGCAGCUGGCCAAGCACUACUACGACGAUCAUCAUCGCGAGGCGGAGUUCGCGGUGGGGGAUUGGGUGUGGCUGCGUCUCCUCCACCGCUCUACGCAGUCACUCGACCCGCGCGCGAAGCGCAAGCUCGGCCCUCGCUACGCCGGGCCCUUCCCUAUCUUGGAGCGCAUUGGGAAGGUGGCAUAUCGUCUUCAGCUUCCAGCCCGUGCUCGCAUCCACGAUGUCUUCCAUGUUGGGCUGCUCAAGCCUUUCCGAGGCGAGCCACCGGCGGCUCCUCCGGCGCUUCCUCCACUCGCCGAUGGUCGCAUUCUUCCCGAGCCGGCAAAGGUGUUGCAGGCGCAGCUCCGUCGUGGCGUCUGGUUCAUCCUCGUUCAGUGGGCGGGCCUUCCGGAGGAGGAGGCUACUUGGGAGCAGCGUGACGAAUUCCGCCAACACUAUCCAGACUUUCAGCUCGAGGACGAGCUGUUUGCGCAGGCGGGGAGAGAUGUUAUGACCGGUUUGGUCUAUACCAGAAAGAGGCCCACCGGGCAUUAG